rnacentral:rRNA from 1 species
AGAGUUUGAUCCUGGCUCAGGAUGAACGCUAGCGGCAGGCCUAACACAUGCAAGUCGAGGGGUAACAGGAGAGCUUGCUCUCGCUGACGACCGGCGCACGGGUGAGUAACGCGUAUGCAACCUACCUAUUACAGGGAGAUAGCCCGGUGAAAACCGGAUUAAUACCCCAUAGUCUCUAAAUAUGGCAUCAUAUUAAGAGUAAACCUUCGGGGGUAAUAGAUGGGCAUGCGUGACAUUAGGUAGUUGGUAGGGUAAAAGCCUACCAAGCCGACGAUGUCUAUGGGGUCUUAAAGGAUGGUCCCACACACUGGUACUGAGACACGGACCAGACUCCUACGGGAGGCAGCAGUGAGGAAUAUUGGUCAAUGGGCGCAAGCCUGAACCAGCCAUGCCGCGUGCAGGAAUACGGCUCUAGUAGUUGUAAACUGCUUUUAUACGGGAAGAAUGCCUUUGUUUUCAGAGGAGAGACUGUACCGUACGAAUAAGGAUCGGCUAACUCCGUGCCAGCAGCCGCGGUAAUACGGAGGAUCCAAGCGUUAUCCGGAUUUAUUAGGUUUAAAGGGUACGUAGGCGGGAAUUUAAGUCAGUGGUGAAAUCUUGCAGCUUAACUGUAAAAUAGCCAUUGAUACUGAAUUUCUUGAGUAUAGACGAAGUGGGCGGAAUAUAACAUGUAGCGGUGAAAUGCUUAGAUAUGUUAUAGAACACCAAUUGCGAAGGCAGCUCACUAGACUAUUACUGACGCUGAUGUACGAAAGCGUGGGUAGCGAACAGGAUUAGAUACCCUGGUAGUCCACGCCGUAAACGAUGAUUACUGGUUGUAUGCGAUACAUUGCAUGCAACUUUAGCGAAAGCAUUAAGUAAUCCACCUGGGGAGUACGUUCGCAAGAAUGAAACUCAAAGGAAUUGACGGGGGCCCGCACAAGCGGAGGAACAUGUGGUUUAAUUCGAUGAUACGCGAGGAACCUUACCUGGGCUCAAACGCAAGCGCCCGACUUGGAGACAAGUUUUUCUAGCAAUAGACGCGAAGCGAGGUGCUGCAUGGCUGUCGUCAGCUCGUGCCGUGAGGUGUCGGGUUAAGUCCCAUAACGAGCGCAACCCCUAUCAUUAGUUACCAGCGGAUCAUGCCGGGGACUCUAAUGAGACUGCCACCGUAAGGUGAGAGGAAGGCGGGGAUGACGUCAAGUCAGCACGGCCCUUACGUCCAGGGCUACACACGUGUUACAAUGGCCGGUACAAAGGGCAGCUACAUAGCAAUAUGAUGCUAAUCUCAAAAGCCGGUCUCAGUUCGGAUCGGAGUCUGUAACUCGACUCCGUGAAGUUGGAUUCGCCAGUAAUCGUGUAUCAGCAACGACACGGUGAAUACGUUCCCGGGCCUUGUACACACCGCCCGUCAAGCCAUGGAAGCCGGGGGUACCUGAAGUCUGUAACCUUAGGGAGCGGCCUAGGGUAAAACUGGUAACUGGGGCUAAGUCGAAACAAGGUA